AUUGAACGCUGGCGGCAGGCCUAACACAUGCAAGUCGAGCGGGGUGAGGUGCUUCGGUACUGAUCCUAGCGGCGGACGGGUGAGUAAUGAUGAGGAAUCUGCCAUUUAGUGGGGGACGACAUUCCGAAAGGGAUGCUAAUACCGCAUACGUCCUACGGGAGAAAGCAGGGGAUCUUCGGACCUUGCGCUAAAUGAUGAGCCUAAGUCGGAUUAGCUAGUUGGUGGGGUAAAGGCCUACCAAGGCGACGAUCUGUAGCGGGUCUGAGAGGAUGAUCCGCCACUCUGGGACUGAGACACGGCCCAGACUCCUACGGGAGGCAGCAGUGGGGAAUAUUGGACAAUGGGCGGAAGCCUGAUCCAGCCAUGCCGCGUGUGUGAAGAAGGCCUUUUGGUUGUAAAGCACUUUAAGCGAGGAGGAGGCUACCUGGAUUAAUACUCUGGGAUAGUGGACGUUACUCGCAGAAUAAGCACCGGCUAACUCUGUGCCAGCCGCCGCAGUAAUAC
rnacentral:rRNA from 1 species